rnacentral:tRNA from 1 species
GCGCCUGUAGCUCACUUGGAUAGAGCAGCUGCCUUCUAAGCAGUGGGUAUCAGGUUCAAUCCCUGCCAGGCGCA